CAACCUCCACAGCCUGGCUGUCCCCAAAUGGAGCUGGGCGGGUAUCUCUUCAAGAGGCUCACCCUCAAGCAGGACUAGGAGC
rnacentral:pre_miRNA from 1 species